AGUGAACGCUGGCGGUAGGCCUAACACAUGCAAGUCGAACGGCAGCACAGUAAUAGCUUGCUCUUACGGGUGGCGAGUGGCGGACGGGUGCGGAAUACAUCGGAAUCUACUUUUUCGUGGGGGAUAACGUAGGGAAACUUACGCUAAUACCGCAUACGACCUACGGGUGAAAGCAGGGGAUCUUCGGACCUUGCGCGAGUGAAUGAGCCGAUGUCGGAUUAGCUAGUUGGCGGGGUAAAGGCCCACCAAGGCGACGAUCCGUAGCUGGUCUGAGAGGAUGAUCAGCCACACUGGAACUGAGACACGGUCCAGACUCCUACGGGAGGCAGCAGUGGGGAAUAUUGGACAAUGGGCGCAAGCCUGAUCCAGCCAUACCGCGUGGGUGAAGAAGGCCUUCGGGUUGUAAAGCCCUUUUGUUGGGAAAGAAAAGCAGCAGGUUAAUACCCCGCUGUUCUGACGGUACCAAAAGAAUAAGCACCGGCUAACUUCGUG
rnacentral:rRNA from 1 species